rnacentral:ncRNA from 1 species
UGAGUCUCAGGGAUCAGAGAGUAGGCACAAGCUACUCAGAC